ACCAGCGGCUAUAGCAACUUGAAUAAACCAGUUCCUCACAGAUCACUGAAAGUAAGCAACGUUACGCUUGGUUGGUAUCCUAAUGAGUGACCUUGGCAAUCGCGUGCCGCUGGAU
rnacentral:rRNA from 1 species